ACAGCCAUAGCUCAGUUGGUAGUAGCGCAUGACUGUUAAUCAUGAUGUCGUAGGUUCGAGUCCUACUGGCGGAG
rnacentral:tRNA from 1 species